GAUGAACGCUGGCGGCGUGCCUAAUACAUGCAAGUCGAGCGAACAGACGAGGAGCUUGCUCCUCUGACGUUAGCGGCGGACGGGUGAGUAACACGUGGAUAACCUACCUAUAAGACUGGGAUAACUUCGGGAAACCGGAGCUAAUACCGGAUAAUAUAUUGAACCGCAUGGUUCAAUAGUGAAAGACGGUUUUGCUGUCACUUAUAGAUGGAUCCGCGCCGCAUUAGCUAGUUGGUAAGGUAACUGCUUACCAAGGCGACGAUGCGUAGCCGACCUGAGAGGGUGAUCGGCCACACUGGAACUGAGACACGGUCCAGACUCCUACGGGAGGCAGCAGUAGGGAAUCUUCCGCAAUGGGCGAAAACCUGACGGAGCAACGCCGCGUGAGUGAUGAAGGUCUUCGGAUCGUAAAACUCUGUUAUUAGGGAAGAACAAAUGUGUAAGUAACUAUGCACGUCUUGACGGUACCUAAUCAGAAAGCCACGGCUAACUACGUG
rnacentral:rRNA from 1 species